GACGAACGCUGGCGGCGUGCCUAAUACAUGCAAGUAGGACGCAGUUGCGAACGGGUGAGUAACGCGUAGGUAACUGUCUCUUAGAGGGGGAUAACUAUUGGAAACGAUAGCCAAUACCGCAUACUAGUAGAUGGACCUGCGUUGUAUUAGCAAGUAGGUUGGGUAAUGGCCUACGUAGGCGACGAUACAUAGCCGAGCUAAGAGGGAGAUCAGCCACACAGGGACUGAGACACGGCCCAGACGCCUACGGGAGGCAGCAGUAGGGAAUCUUCGGCAAUGGACGAAAGUCUGACCGAGGAACGCCGCGUGAGUGAAGAAGGUUUUCGGAUCGUAAAACUCUGUUGUUAGAGAAGCGGUAACUAACCAGAAAGCCACGGCUAACUACGUGCCGGCAGCCGCGGUAAUAC
rnacentral:rRNA from 1 species